rnacentral:rRNA from 1 species
AUGAACGCUGGCGGCGUGCCUAAUACCUGCCGGUCGAGCGCACGGACGAGAAGCUUGCUUCUCUGAUGUUAGCGGCGGACGGGUGAGUAACACGUGGAUAACCUACCUAUAAGACUGGGAUAACUUCGGGAAACCGGAGCUAAUACCGGAUAAUAUUUUGAACCGCAUGGUUCAAAAGUGAAAGACGGUCUUGCUGUCACUUAUAGAUGGAUCCGCGCUGCAUUAGCUAGUUGGUAAGGUAACGGCUUACCAAGGAAACGAUGCAUAGCCGACCUGAGAGGGUGAUCGGCCACACUGGAACUGAGACACGGUCCAGACUCCUACGGGAGGCAGCAGUAGGGAAUCUUCCGCAAUGGGCGAAAGCCUGACGGAGCAACGCCGCGUGAGUGAUGAAGGUCUUCGGAUCGUAAAACUCUGUUAUUAGGGAAGAACAUAUGUGUAAGUAACUGUGCACAUCUUGACGGUACCUAAUCAGAAAGCCACGGCUAACUACGUG